UACAGAGGUCUCAAGCGUUGUUCGGAUUCAUUGGGCGUAAAGCGCACGUAGGCGGAUUUCUAAGUCAGGGGUGAAAUCCUGGAGCUCAACUCCAGAACUGCCUUUGAUACUGGGAAUCUUCGAGUCCGGGAGAGGUGAGUGGAACUGCGAGUGUAGAGGUGAAAUUCGUAGAUAUUCGCAAGAACACCAGUGGCGAAGGCGGCUCACUGGCCCGGUACUGACGCUGAGGUGCGAAAGCGUGGGGAGCAAACAGG
rnacentral:rRNA from 1 species